AACGAACGCUGGCGGCAUGCCUAACACAUGCAAGUCGAACGAGACCGUCGGGUCUAGUGGCGCACGGGUGCGUACCGCGUGGGAAUCUGCCCUUGGGUUCGGAAUAACAGUCGGAAACGAAUGCUAAUACCGGUGGGUGACGUAAGUCCAAAGAUUUAUCGCCCCGGGAUGAGCGCGCGUAGGAUUAGCUGGUUGGUGGGGUAAAGGCCUACCAAGGCGACGAUCCUUAGCUGGUCUGGGAGGAUGAUCAGCCAGACUGGGACUGAGACACGGCCCAGACUCCUACGGGAGGCAGCAGUGGGGAAUAUUGGACAAGGGGCGCAAGCCUGAUCCAGCAAUGCCGCGUGAGUGAUGAAGGCCGUAGGGUUGCAAAACUCUUUUACCCGGGAUGAUAAUGACAGUACCGGGAGAAUAAGCCCCGGCUAACUCCGUG
rnacentral:rRNA from 1 species